CCCAGUUUGCUCUGGUUAGCCGUAUUUUCUACAUUAAUUUCUAAUGAACCCGGCUGAUAGAUUUGUAGUGGCUUAUUUAAUGCUUAUUUUCCCCAAGGCUCUUCUUUUUCUUUCCCCCUCCUCCCCAUCCGCACCAUCCCUGCCCCGUAACCAGCCGCCAGCUCUUUUUGCUUUCCAGUUUACCCAGGCGAAUGCUCAUCAAAGUGAUAUUUCACGAGGAAUUGUAUUUCUUUUCCUUCUCCAAGAUAACCAACGGUCACCAGCCAUCUUCAUUCACCCUCUAGACACGGUGACGCCCUUUUCCGCGGAAGCCUGUCUGUAUUUCUCCCAACGUCUCUGGCAGCGGCUCCUCGGGGACCUGCCCUGGCAGCUGCGUCCUACGUGGGGCUGGACGAGGCAGAUAAAAGGCCCCUCUGCCCCCACCACGCCGGCUCCCUGCGGCGCCCAAUGGCUUAAAAACGUCACUUCUUUUGCACAACAACAACCUCAAGUUGACAAUGAAAUGCACGCGGUAGACCGAAGGGAACCGGACAAGGCUCUGUUAGUGAUGGAAAGUCCUUCCACGACACCGCGCCAGCUCCCCACCCGUCUGCCCCCGCCCCCGGCACGAGCAAAGGUGGCCCAGGCUGCGCAGGGGGAGCGAAUCCUGCCCGGGAGGGCAGCCGGGGUGCUGAGCCCUGGGGUUCUGGCUCAGCCCCGCGGCCACGCAAUCACCUUCCAAACCUCUGCCUGCAGCCCUGGGCCACUUUAUUCCUCCCGGGGUGGACGGCUGCGUACCACGACUCGGGACUUGGGUACUUUCCAUUUUCAGAGCACUUCAGAGACGUGGAUGCGUCGGCUCUCCCGCAGGCCCUGUGGGGGAGGGAGCGUCCGUGUCCCCUUGGCACGGGGAGGGGGGAAACUGAGGCACGGGGGAUACCCGGGGCUGGGAUGCCCGGCUGUCCCCCCGUGCCCGGGUCCCACCUUCCUGGCGGCGGGUGGGGGCAGCUGCCUCCCUGCACCCCGGGGACCCGGAGCACCCAAACGUAGGCGUUGGCCAGCGCCCCUCUUCUGCUUUAAAGACAACUGA
rnacentral:lncRNA from 1 species